rnacentral:lncRNA from 1 species
AUUAAGUCUUAGAACAACGGCUUCCCUAUCUGUGUGUUUGUUUCAGAGAUGGGAGGUUUUAUUUUGCUUUGUUUUUGUGUAGUCAAGUUUUUCACUAAUAGUAUGAACGUGCAAGAAAAGUAUUAUUGAGAAUGAUAAACACUGAUCAUAAUAAUAAGAAAUUUACGUAUUAAUGUCUAAUUGUAAUAGAACCAGUCUUCAUUCUAUAUGUUAAUUUUUGAAGUGAUGAUUGGGGGUGUCUGGUCAAUUAUGCAUUCUAUAAUCAGCGGUCAUUAGGAAUUAGAAUAUGAGGGAACACCCAAGGAAACACCACUAUUACACUUUACCAUGCUUUAUAUAUUCUUCUGGGCUAGGAUUCAAAACCUGGCUGAAGUCCUGUUCUGAGAUCUGGACUGAUGUGAAUAGCAGGUAUGGAAGGAAAUCCUGAGCAGCUCAC